AGUGAACGCUGGCGGUAGGCCUAACACAUGCAAGUCGAGCGGAAGCAGGGUAAGUGCUUCUUCUUUCGGCUGCCGACUGGCGAGCAGUUCCGAAAAACCUCCGUAUCUACUUUUUCGUACGUGCUAAAACGGGCACUCAUACGCCAUUCGUCCAGACGGCCUACGGGUGAGAUCAGCGGAUCUCACGCUCUCGCGUGAGCCUAUGUCCCGAUGUCGGAUUAGCUAGUUGGCGGGGUAAAGGCCCACCAAGGCGACGAUCCGUAGCUGGUCUGAGAGGAUGAUCAGUCACACUGGAACUGAGACACGGUCCAGACUCCUACGGGAGGCAGCAGUGGGGAAUAUUGGACAAUGGGCGCAAGCCUGAUCCAGCCAUGCCGCGUGGGUGAAGAAGGUCUUCGGGUUGUAAAGCCCUUUUGUUGGGGAAGAAAAGCAGUAAGUUAAUACCCUGCUGUUCUGACGGUACCCAAAGAAUAAGCACCGGCUAACUUCGUG
rnacentral:rRNA from 1 species